rnacentral:rRNA from 1 species
GGUAGGACUACCCGCUGAACUUAAGCAUAUCAAUAAGCGGAGGAAAAGAAACUAACAAGGAUUCCCCUAGUAACUGCGAGUGAAGCGGGAAAAGCUCAAAUUUAAAAUCUGACAGUCUUUGGCUGUCCGAGUUGUAAUCUAGAGAAGUAUUAUCCCGCGCUGGACCGUGUACAAGGUCUCCUAAA